UUUUUUAUUAAAAAUUUUUUAAUUAAUAGGUCCCAUCCCAAGAGGCCACAUUACCGGAGGGUGUGGGUGGACAGGAGGCACUAGACAUUUGAGGAGGGGGUGUGUCUACAUGAAGUUGAGCAUGAGAGCGUCUAUGUCUGGCGUGAGAAAUUAUACAAAUUGAUUCCGCCUUCUUUCAGGUCUCAAAUUGCUGCCAGAUCCAAGCUAAAUGGUUAGUAAAGCUGUUAUGCUAUGUUAGUGAAUUAUUCAGUGAGCUGUCUUGUGAAGACAUAGCGAGAUUGUUAGAAAUAUGUAACUCAUUUAUAUAUAGUAAUUAUCAAAAUAUACUAAAAGGAAAGAUUCCAACAGAAGAUUCCCUCCCUGAUAGUUCAUGGAGUACAUUGAAGGCAAUAUUAAGACAAAAUAUUAAUAAAUUUGGAAACAUUUACUAUAGAUUUGUAUCUAGAGAACACAUUACUACUA